CGCGUAGGCGGUCCCUUAAGUCAGAUGUGAAAUCCCGAGGCUCAACCUCGGGCGUGCAUUUGAAACUGGGGGACUAGAGUGCAGGAGAGGUAAGUGGAAUUCCUAGUGUAGCGGUGAAAUGCGUAGAUAUUAGGAGGAACACCAGUGGCGAAGGCGACUUACUGGACUGUAACUGACGCUGAGGCGCGAAAGCGUGGGGAGCAAACAGGAUUAGAUACCCUGGUAGUCCACGCUGUAAACGAUGGAUACUAGGUGUGGGAGGUAUCGACCCCUUCCGUGCCGCAGUAAACGCAAUAAGUAUCCCGCCUGGGGAGUACGGCCGCAAGGUUGAA
rnacentral:rRNA from 1 species